rnacentral:lncRNA from 1 species
GUCUUAAUUUUAAAAUGUGGCAUACUUACUCUCUUAUAUAUAAAUUUAUCCCAUUGCAAAAUGAAUCUCAUUCUUCACGGACUGCUCAUUUUGUGGUAAAAAAUUCUCACAACUGACAAAGCCUAAUGGUAUGGGCUUUAGUCUGUAAAAAAUAAAUAGUUUUAAUAUUCUGGCCCAUGACAUGUACAAAGAAAACGAUAUGUAUUGUGUCGAUAUAAAAAUUACAAUAAAGCUACACGAACGAGGCUAAAAUACAGGCUAAGAAACAAGGAUUCAAAAAUGCUGAUGUGGCAUUAACAUUUUGGAGGGAAGCACAGCAAAGUGAUGGAAAUUGUCAGCAAAGUGAAAUUGCAGUAAAAAAUAAAUGACUAAAAUCUGGAAGUCGGCCCCCAAUUUUUCAUCUCAGUAUUGGCUUCACUUCUUCUUCACCUUUCCACUCUCUCUCUUAAAAGUUAAAGACGUCAAACGGGCGAUGACCGGUUUAAACUCGACGCACAUAGUGGUGGAAAUUGCCAUACCCUUCAUCUUCCGUCACUAUUAUUCAGACGGCAACAACUUUUCGGCCAAAAAGCUACUGUUUUGACGGCAACAAAUAACUGAAGUGUCGCCUUCUUUGGACGGCAAUAAUCUUUCCGACCAUUUUGGGGAAUUCCAGCAAAUGUACUGAAGCCGCACUUCAACCUCGAUUUCUACGGAUCCAUUACACGUCUCGAAGAAAACUGAGGAAGAGUGAAUAUCCAUUUUUUGGAGCUUUGACACGUCUCAAAGAAGAGUGAAGAUCCAUUAUUGGCAACACAUGCUAUAAUUAUGAGAAGGGAUUAUCAAAUCUAUUGAUGUUUAACAGUUCAUUUCCUUUUUUGUUUUUUCAGUUUGUUUUUGCUUUGCGGUUGUUCGAUUGCUGUCAUUUUAGAACUGUGGUUGUCCAAUUUUCUUUUGUCAAAUUUAUUCUUUAUAGGCUGUCUUGAAUGUGCACUUAUAAGAUAAAACUUGUUAGAAUAAUCAAUAUACAUGUUGUGAUGAGGAAGACUGUG